rnacentral:rRNA from 1 species
UACAGAGGAGCCAAGCGUUGUCCGGAUUGACUGGGCGUAAAGCGCACGCAGGCGGUUGCGCGCGUGGGGUGUGAAAUCUGGCCGCUUAACGGCCAGGCGCCAUCCCAUACGGCGCGACUGGAGUGAUGCAGAGGUCGAUGGAAUUGCCGGUGUAGUGGUGAAAUGCGUAGAGAUCGGCAGGAACACCCAGGGGGAAACCAGUGGACUGGGCAUGAGCUGACGCUCAGGUGCGAAAGCGUGGGGAGCGAACCGG